AAGUCGUAACAAGGUUUCCGUAGGUGAACCUGCGGAAGGAUCAUUAACGUAUCUCUGGGGGUUCGGGGGCCCUGCUCCGGUUCUGGCCGUGCAGCGGGUGCCUGUCCCCCCAAAACCACAAACCCACUGUGCACCUUUCGCGGUGGAGGGUGUGGCGCGAGCCCCACCUGAAGCCGCGGUCUCAUAGACACUGGUACAUAAGAAUGUUCAGCGAACUCUGUUUCGCCCACAAACGUAACAACUUUCAACAACGGAUCUCUUGGCUCUC
rnacentral:misc_RNA from 1 species